rnacentral:rRNA from 1 species
UACGUAGGGGGCGAGCGUUGUCCGGAAUGACUGGGCGUAAAGGGUGUGUAGGCGGUUUAUUAAGUUAGAAGUGAAAUACCUAGGGCUUAACCCAGGUGCUGCUUCUAAAACUGAUAGACUUGAGUGCAGUAGAGGAAAGUGGAAUUCCUAGUGUAGCGGUGGAAUGCGUAGAUAUAUGGAAGAACACCAGUGGCGAAAGCGGCUCUCUGGUCUGUAACUGACGCUGAGGUUCGAAAGCGUGGGUAGCAAACAGG